CCUACGGGGGGCAGCAGUGGGGAAUCUUGCACAAUGGGGGAAAGCCUGAUGCAGCGACGCCGCGUGAGCGAUGAAGUAUUUCGGGAUGUAAAGUGCUAUCAGAAGGGAGGAAAAUGACGGUACCUGAUUAAGAAGCACCGGCUAACUACGUGCCAGCAGCCGCGGUAAUACGUAGGGGGCGAGCGUUAUCCGGAUUUACUGGGUGUAAAGGGAGCGGGGAGGGCGGUGCAAGCCAUAUGUGAAAGCCCGGGGCUCAACCCCGGGACUGUAUUUGGAACUGUGCUGCUAGAGUGUCGGAGAGGCAAGUGGAAUUCCUAGUGUAGCGGUGAAAUGCGUAGAUAUUAGGAGGAACACCAGUGGCGAAGGCAGGCUGCUGGA
rnacentral:rRNA from 1 species